GGUGGUUGUUGUGCUGGGCUCUGUAAGAGCGGAGGAAGUGGUGUGAUGGUUCCUUUUAGAGGGUCUUGCAUGUUGAGUGUUGCCACAAGAUAGGUCUGUGUUUACUGCUGAGGUCUCUGUCCAGGGAGAGGUUCCUUCAGGUGCUCCAGAGCUGCUGUUUGGCUGUGUUCCUCCACGCACACCCUGCUUAGGCUGUUGGAGCCCUUGGUGCUCGAGCUUCCCUCUUUGCUCUUGUGUGGAUUCUGCUGUCUGUGGAAGAAAAUAACCCAUGCAGAAUGUUCAGCACAGGUGGCCAGUGGAAGCACAGCUGCAUUUGACCCUUGGCUCACAAUAGCUACGUAUUUUGCCAGAGAAAUGCCUAUCAAUUCUGUCAAGUUCAAGCUCCUUCUGGAAAAGGAACUGCUGCAUCAUUGUUGCCCUGUUUGUGGGAGUCUGAGCUGGUCAAGGGCUAACACAAGUUACCUUCAGAUUUCCUGGAGAAACCUGGAAUCUUGACAUCAACUGCUGAUGUGCAAAUGCUAAGAGAAAAGGGGCAUCUCCUGUAUGGAAGCCUGAUCCGGAACCUAGAUAAUAAAGGGUGACUGUGAAGUUCAAGAACAGAUCAGAAUUUCUCAUUUAACAGAUUGAAGCAAAGUGCAGCAAUAAAUGUGCAGUUCUUAGAAACUAUUAGUGACUGAUGAGGCUUCUGUUCAGAAGCUGAUACCCAGCACGCCUUCACACCUGCAGAAAGGAGUGAGCUUGACCAGGAAGAACGAAGAGUGGACUGAGGAGAUUGCGCAGAAAAAAUCUAGCAAUAAAAUAAGUAAAUCGAGAACAUGGUGAUGAGUGAAACGAAGCAGUGGAGAACGGAAGGUAAUUUGCACCAGCGAAAAGUAAACCAAACACUGAGGCAUGACUGUAAGCUUUACGUUAACAGCAAGUCAGCAAAAAAGGCCUUGCUGUAAGAAUCUGGGCCUGGCCGCAGUGGGAGGUUAUACAUGGUGAAAUGGCCUGAUACAGGGAAGGGAUCUCCUGCCUUUACUUAUUAACAGGUAGAGGUGGCUAGGACAACUUUUCUUUUUUGGGGAACAAAAAAAAAAACCCAAAGAACCAAUUCUAGUUGCUAGGAUGUCUAGAAAUAAAACAUUCCUAGAUUUCACUGAAAGCUAGUAUUAAAACCGACUGGACCUCAAGCCAAAAAAAUAAAAAUUAAAAAUGAACAACUUAGAAUCUCCAAAAGACAGAUAAAUUCUGAUAUAAACAAAUCUUGCUGCUUACAUCUGUGUCACUGCAGGCUUAUCUAGCUGAUGCAAAUUUGGAGUAAAAUCAGCUAAAUGAAGUUGGCUAAAUGAAUAUGGCUAGAAUUUCUAUUGCAUAAUAUAAUGGGACUAAAAUAAACAGAAAUGAGGAAUAUAAUAGCAUAAUUGUUACGUUUUUAAGUUGCAAGUACAGACAGCCAAGAACUUAGAAAAAAAUACAAAUUUUGUCUUUUAAUGCAGAUAUGUCACUGUUAGUAGUUUUGAAGCUCUAGAUGCAGUACAAAUAUGAGCUAAUUAGUUUUUAAUUCCUUUCUGCUGUGCAUAUUUGUCAAAGGAGCUUUUAUAUCUGACUUCUAAAAGGUGUUAAAAAUGUAAGAUGGCAUUUGUUAGUGUGUAGAUCAGAGUCUGCUGAAAACCAUGACUUGCAUUUAACAAUUUGUAUUAUUUUCUGACUAGUAAUUUUGGAAAUACUGAUACUUGAAUAUGUUUUUUGACUACGUUUCAGGCAACUCUGUGUUUUGUCAUUUUCUGGGUUUGGUAAAGUUUCUCUGCAGCAUAAUUACAGCCAUUCAAACUAGGAUAAAUAUUUGUACCCAUAUAAUUGGAAGCUGUUUUAGCUACAGAUAAAUAAACAUAUGUAAACUCUGUACCUGUUUGGGUUCUUCAGUGUUAUUAACAAUAAUGAUGUGAUUUGCAUAGGGCUUGACCUAAUGUUUGGAAAACAAUUUCCAUGCUCCUGCUUAUGUGUCUGGACUCUAGCUGCAGGUCUUAGAAUGCCUGUUUUAAAGUGCUUUUUGUGAUACCUUAUCUGUCACUAAAUUUUUAGUUCUUUAUAUUUUUAAUACAGCAUGAAUCUGUGAUCCCCUGAGUGUAUCCUUCUUUGUCUUGCCUUGUGCUGAUCCUUAUGUAAACAUCCCUUACUCAAAAACAUAGCUGGAUGCAAUUUGUAUGGAGCAUUCACCUCUCUGUUAACCUCAGGGUGAGGGCUGCCACCUAAUCAAAUAAUCUUCCACCCUGACCCUUAACAGGCUGUAAGCAGCUUUUCCCAGGAAAGCAGGUAAAGUCUUGGGACAGUGCAGUAAAGCUUGAAAAUACAUGGUUUUUAAGCAUAUGUAUGUGGGUUCCAGUAGGUGUGUCCUAAAAAUAAACUCUUCUUUACUGCUCUAGAAGGAAAAAAGGAAAGCCACCUUUUUUUGGCCUGGAGGUAAAGUGCUUUCAGCUGCAGUGGGCAGGGAAGCUGUACUUUGUGAGCAAAGGAGGAAGCCUUUUUAGAUGGAAAUGAAAACCAUCCAUUCUCAGCAUGUUUGAACU